UACGUAGGGGGCAGGCGUUGUCCGGAUUUAUUGGGCGUAAAGAGCGUGUAGGCGGCUGGGUAGGUCCGUUGUGAAAACUCGAGCUCAAUCUCGAGACGCCGAUGGAAACCCUCCAGCUAGAGUCCGGAAGAGGAGAGUGGAAUUCCUGGUGUAGCGGUGAAAUGCGCAGAUAUCAGGAAGAACACCCGUGGCUAAGGCGGCUCUCUAGUACGGUACUGACGCUGAGACGCGAAAGCGUGGGGAGCAAACAGG
rnacentral:rRNA from 1 species